rnacentral:rRNA from 1 species
AUUGAACGCUGGCGGCAGGCCUAACACAUGCAAGUCGAACGAGUGGCGGACGGGUGAGUAAUGUCGGGGAAACUGCCUGAUGGAGGGGGAUAACUACUGGAAACGGUAGCUAAUACCGCAUACCAUCAGAUGUGCCCAGAUGGGAUUAGCUAGUUGGUGGGGGAACGGCGCACCAGCGCGACGAUCCCUAGCUGGUCUGAGAGGAUGACAAGCCACACUGGAACUGUGACACGGGCCAGAGGCCUAGGGGAGGCAGCAGUGGGGAAUAGGGGAAUAUGGGCGAAAGCCUGAUGCAGACAUGCAGCGUGUAUGAAGAAGGCCUUCGGGUUGUAAAGUUCUUUCAGCGGGGAGGCGUUACCCGCAGAAGAAGCGCCGGCUAACUCCGUGCCAGCCGCCGCGGUAAUUC